rnacentral:rRNA from 1 species
GACGAACGCUGGCGGCGUGCUUAACACAUGCAAGUCGAACGGAAAGGCCCUGCUUUUGUGGGGUGCUCGAGUGGCGAACGGGUGAGUAACACGUGAGUAACCUGCCCUUGACUUUGGGAUAACUUCAGGAAACUGGGGCUAAUACCGGAUAGGAGCUCCUGCUGCAUGGUGGGGGUUGGAAAGUUUCGGCGGUUGGGGAUGGACUCGCGGCUUAUCAGCUUGUUGGUGGGGUAGUGGCUUACCAAGGCUUUGACGGGUAGCCGGCCUGAGAGGGUGACCGGCCACAUUGGGACGGGGAUACGGCCCAGACUCCUACGGGAGGCAGGAGUGGAGAAUAGUGCACAAUGGGCGGAAGCCUGAUGCAGCAAAGCCGCGUGCGGGAUGACGGCCUUCGGGUUGUAAACCGCUUUCGCCUGAGACGAAGCGUGAGUGACGGUAAUGGGUAAAGAAGCACCGGCUAACUACGUG